GAAUUCGAGCAAUGUUCAAUUAAUAAACUCAGGAUUUCAAAACGAGCAAAGGCAACAUUGGUCGAAAUGAAACAUUUUUAUCUCCGCCUAGCCAAACCGAUGCCAUUCGAAAAAAGAUGGAAUUUGCAAGCUAUAUUCGUCUGAAUUAAUGCCUCAAGACAUAAUCAUCCUGCUGUCACAACAUUCUACUCCGACGGCGAUAGCGGAUCAACAAAUGCCUCUAUUUAAAUGCAAUGUGUUACCACUGCCGGAAAUAAUUUUUUUUUUUUUUUAUUGCGCCAGCAUGAUGCCACUCGGCAAAAGCUAGGAAUGCUCUCUGAGUAUUCAGAUUAAGGAUACAGUAUCGAUCAAAUAACCGAAGAAACAUUGUGAACCGUUGUUAAAUGAACUUUUGGCAUUCAAGACAUUAGCAAUUCAUAAAAAAAUUUU